GCAAAAAACAACUUAAUCUAUUUUGGCUCAUUUACGGGCUUAUCAACAUUAUUUGGGUCUGGACACACAAGGCCAGCCCAUUUGAUCAAUAGUAUAUAGAGUAAUGAUACGUCAUCCUACCACUGAUUUUGCAACAUUUUUUUACAACAUCGUACGAGAAAACUUAGGAGUUCAAGCCUAAUCGAUUCAACAAGACAAAUCAGAUAUCAAAGAGUUCUUUAUAAAGUGGAUGGAGAAGCAAGAAGUUGGAGAGAACAAUGAUGAAAUGCAAAAUUCUGAAGGACAAAAACAUCCUACGAAUGCAACAACAAAUAGCUUUUUUUCAGAUGGCUAGUGAGGAGAAAUUGUUUGCAGAUGAAUAUCUUUUUAAAUUGGAUGAAGAUCAAAAGGUUUGUAUUGUCCUUUGUUUUUUUUUUUUUUUUUUUUUUUAUGAAAGAAAUUUUAGGGUGAGGGGAUGGUACCCCAGUCCAAGGCAGGGAAGAUCUUCGGGCUCAAAGAGCACUUACAAAGAGAAAAAAAAGAAAAGUUGCAUGCUAAAAUCAUUCAGCUUGAAAGAAAACUGGAAAUGAAAUAAAAGCUGAAAUGUGAGAUUCAGAGACUGAAAACAACACAAUGCUUGUUGAAGUUCAUAGAAGAUGACAAAGAUGUAGAAGUUUUGAAGAGGGGAGCUAAUCUUUAUAAGGGUUUUAAGGAGAAGUUACAAUCAGUGGAAGACUUACAGACACUAAAUCAAACCCUAAUCAUCAAAGAGCGUAAGAGUAACGACGAGCUGCAAGAAGCUCGAAAAGAAUUAA